GAUGAACGCUGGCGGCGUGCUUAACACAUGCAAGUCGAACGGGAAAUAUUUCAUUGAGACUUCGGUGGAUUUGAUUUAUUUCUAGUGGCGGACGGGUGAGUAACGCGUGGGUAACCUGCCUUAUACAGGGGGAUAACAGUCAGAAAUGGCUGCUAAUACCGCAUAAGCGCACAGAGCUGCAUGGCUCAGUGUGAAAAACUCCGGUGGUAUAAGAUGGACCCGCGUUGGAUUAGCUAGUUGGUGGGGUAACGGCCCACCAAGGCGACGAUCCAUAGCCGGCCGGAGAGGGUGAACGGCCACAUUGGGACUGAGACACGGCCCAGACUCCUACGGGAGGCAGCAGUGGGGAAUAUUGCACAAUGGGGGAAACCCUGAUGCAGCGACGCCGCGUGAAGGAAGAAGUAUCUCGGUAUGUAAACUUCUAUCAGCAGGGAAGAUAGUGACGGUACCUGACUAAGAAGCCCCGGCUAACUACGUG
rnacentral:rRNA from 1 species